rnacentral:sRNA from 1 species
GAAACUGCCGAAGACAGUAGGUGCCGUAAGGCAUAAGGAUAAAACGCCUACCGAGGAGUAAAGCGUUCGAUAGAAUGAUUUAUUGUGCCUCUCCGUCUUUGAUGGGGAGGCUUUUUU